rnacentral:rRNA from 1 species
AGCGAACGCUGGCGGCAUGCCUUACACAUGCAAGUCGAACGGUAACAGGUCUUCGGAUGCUGACGAGUGGCGAACGGGUGAGUAAUACAUCGGAACGUGCCCGAUCGUGGGGGAUAACGAAGCGAAAGCUUUGCUAAUACCGCAUACGAUCUACGGAUGAAAGCAGGGGACCGCAAGGCCUUGCGCGAACGGAGCGGCCGAUGGCAGAUUAGGUAGUUGGUGGGAUAAAAGCUUACCAAGCCGACGAGCUGUAGCUGGUCUGAGAGGACGACCAGCCACACUGGGACUGAGACACGGCCCAGACUCCUACGGGAGGCAGCAGUGGGGAAUUUUGGACAAUGGGCGAAAGCCUGAUCCAGCCAUGCCGCGUGCAGGAUGAAGGCCUUCGGGUUGUAAACUGCUUUUGUACGGAACGAAAAGACUCUGGUUAAUACCUGGGGUCCAUGACGGUACCGUAAGAAUAAGCACCGGCUAACUACGUGCCAGCCGCCGCAGUAAGAC